rnacentral:rRNA from 1 species
GGAAGUAAAAGUCGUAACAAGGUUUCCGUAGGUGAACCUGCGGAAGGAUCAUUACAGAGUUCAUGCCCUUACGGGUAGAUCUCCCACCCUUGAAUACUAUACCUUUGUUGCUUUGGCGGGCCGCCUCGGCUACCGGCUUCGGCUGGUAAGUGCCCGCCAGAGGACCCCUAAACUCUGAAUGUUAAUGUCGUCUGAGUACUAUAUAAUAGUUAAAACUUUCAACAACGGAUCUCUUGGUUCUGGCAUCGAUGAAGAACGCAGCGAAAUGCGAUAAGUAAUGUGAAUUGCAGAAUUCAGUGAAUCAUCGAAUCUUUGAACGCACAUUGCGCCCCUUGGUAUUCCGAGGGGCAUGCCUGUUCGAGCGUCAUUAUAACCCUCAAGCCUAGCUUGGUGUUGGGGCUUGCUGUUACCGGCAGCCCUUAAAACUAGUGGCGGUGCCACCUGGCUCUAAGCGUAGUAAUACUUCUCGCUAUAGAGUCCCGGUGGAUGCUUGCCAUCAACCCCUAAUUUUCUAUGGUUGACCUCGGAUCAGGUAGGGAUACCCGCUGAACUUAAGCAUAUCAAUAAGCGGAGGAA